UACGGAGGGUGCAAGCGUUAUUCGGAAUUACUGGGCGUAAAGCGUGCGCAGGCGGUUUUUCAAGUCUGCUGUGAAGGCCCCGGGCUUAACCUGGGAAUGGCAUUUGGGACUGCAAGGCUUGAGUGCGGCAGAGGAGACUGGAAUUCCUGGUGUAGCAGUGAAAUGCGUAGAUAUCAGGAGGAAUACCGAUGGCGAAGGCAGGUCUCUGGGCUGACACUGACGCUCAUGCACGAAAGCGUGGGGAGCAAACAGG
rnacentral:rRNA from 1 species